GAUCCUGGCUCAGAUUGAACGCUGGCGGCAGGCCUAACACAUGCAAGUCGAGCGGUAGAGAGAAGCUUGCUUCUCUUGAGAGCGGCGGACGGGUGAGUAAUGCCUAGGAAUCUGCCUGGUAGUGGGGGAUAACGUUCGGAAACGGGCGCUAAUACCGCAUACGUCCUACGGGAGAAAGCAGGGGACCUUCGGGCCUUGCGCUAUCAGAUGAGCCUAGGUCGGAUUAGCUAGUUGGUGAGGUAAUGGCUCACCAAGGCGACGAUCCGUAACUGGUCUGAGAGGAUGAUCAGUCACACUGGAACUGAGACACGGUCCAGACUCCUACGGGAGGCAGCAGUGGGGAAUAUUGGACAAUGGGCGAAAGCCUGAUCCAGCCAUGCCGCGUGUGUGCAGAAGGUCUUCGGAUUGUAAAGCACUUUAAGUUGGGAGGAAGGGCAGUUACCUAAUACGUGAUUGUUUUGACGUUACCGACAGAAUAAGCACCGGCUAACUCUGUG
rnacentral:rRNA from 1 species